rnacentral:rRNA from 1 species
AGAGUUUGAUCCUGGCUCAGGAUGAACGCUAGCGACAGGCUUAACACAUGCAAGUCGAGGGCAGCGGGGAGGUAGCAAUACUUCCGCCGGCGACCGGCGCACGGGUGAGUAACACGUAUGGAACCUGCCCGUAGCAGGGGAUAAGCGGAAGAAAUUCCGUCUAAUACCGCGUAAUAACUCCGAGAGGCAUCUCUUGGGUUUAAAGGGUAACACCGGCUACGGAUGGCCAUGCGGCGCAUUAGCUAGUUGGCGGGGUAACGGCCACCAAGGCGACGAUGCGUAGGGGUUCUGAGAGGAAGGUCCCCACACUGGUACUGAGACACGGACCAGACUCCUACGGGAGGCAGCAGUGAGGAAUAUUGGUCAAUGGGCGCGAGCCUGAACCAGCCAAGUCGCGUGAGGGAAGACGGUCCUAUGGAUUGUAAACCUCUUUUGUCGGGGAGCAAAAGACGUCACGUGUGGCGUUCCGAGAGUACCCGAAGAAAAAGCAUCGGCUAACUCCGUGCCAGCAGCCGCGGUAAUACGGAGGAUGCGAGCGUUAUCCGGAUUUAUUGGGUUUAAAGGGUGCGCAGGCGGAAGAUCAAGUCAGCGGUAAAAUUGAGAGGCUCAACCUCUUCGAGCCGUUGAAACUGGUUUUCUUGAGUGAGCGAGAAGUAUGCGGAAUGCGUGGUGUAGCGGUGAAAUGCAUAGAUAUCACGCAGAACUCCGAUUGCGAAGGCAGCAUACCGGCGCUCAACUGACGCUCAUGCACGAAAGUGUGGGUAUCGAAACAGAUUAGAUACCCUGGUAGUCCACACAGUAAACGAUGAAUACUAAUUGUUCGGGGAGAAUGAUCCCUGAGUGAUACAGCGAAAGCGUUAAGUAUUCCACCUGGGGAGUACGCCGGCAACGGUGAAACUCAAAGGAAUUGACGGGGGCCCGCACAAGCGGAGGAACAUGUGGUUUAAUUCGAUGAUACGCGAGGAACCUUACCCGGGCUCAAACGACACAGGAAUACUUUUGAAAGGAGGUAGCUCUACGGAGUCUGUGUCGAGGUGCUGCAUGGUUGUCGUCAGCUCGUGCCGUGAGGUGUCGGCUUAAGUGCCAUAACGAGCGCAACCCCCAUCGCCAGUUACCAGCAAGUCAAGUUGGGGACUCUGGCGAGACUGCCGGCGCAAGCUGUGAGGAAGGCGGGGAUGACGUCAAAUCAGCACGGCCCUUACGUCCGGGGCGACACACGUGUUACAAUGGCAGGUACAGAGAGAAGCAAUGCGGUGACGCAAAGCGGAACUUGAAAGCCUGUCUCAGUUCGGAUUGGAGUCUGCAACUCGACUCCAUGAAGCUGGAUUCGCUAGUAAUCGCGCAUCAGCCAUGGCGCGGUGAAUACGUUCCCGGGCCUUGUACACACCGCCCGUCAAGCCAUGGAAGCCGGGAGUGCCUGAAGUGUGCAACCGCAAGGAGCGCCCUAAGGUAAAACUGGUGACUGGGGCUAAGUCGUAACAAGGUAGCCGUACCGGAAGGUGCGGCUG